UACGAAGGGGGCUAGCGUUGUUCGGAAUUACUGGGCGUAAAGGGCGCGUAGGCGGCUCUGAUCGUCGGAUGUGAAAGGCCUGGGCUCAACCUGGGAAUGGCAUCCGAUACGGCGGGGCUGGAGUGUGGGAGAGGUUGGUGGAAUUCCCAGUGUAGAGGUGAAAUUCGUAGAUAUCGGGAGGAACACCAGUGGCGAAGGCGGAGACCUGGGCCGAUACUGACGCUGAGGUGCGAAAGCGUGGGGAGCAAACAGG
rnacentral:rRNA from 1 species